GGCAGGGGGGCCCCGGCUGUGGUGGGGCUCUGCAGCUCUGGGCUCCAGGGUGGGAGGGGGCAGAAGAGGAGAGGCGUGGUCUCAGGUGGAAGGAGCAGGGGCUAGCCUCCCACAACUUCUGGUUCAUCCGCCAACCAUGCUGGUUGGGAUUUUCACAAGAGCCUAAAUGACUUAGAAACACAAGUGAAUGGAACACACUGGAUUCCCGUUAGAGGAAACAAACAGAGCCUUCCCGUCAAAAGGGAGAUCCUGCAUCGACAACUUCACUUCACUUCACUGCAUAGCCCAGAGAGCAGGAGCUAUGAUGCUUGUCUCACGGACACCGCCGAGGCCAUGGACCGUGCGGCUGUGUCCGCUGCAUCCGAAGCAGCCUGCAGAGACGCCUUUGCGGCAGCUGCCCCUUCCUCCACGAGUGCCUUAAACUCCUUUCUAUCGUGCUCCCGGAGGGAGUCCUCGAACUUGGGGAGGGAUCCCCAGAGAUUAAAAUUGUAGCAACCCAGGAGAGUCUGAAGGUUUGCUACUCUCAGCUGGAAGCUUGACGACGAAUAAAUUUUUCUCCCAAAAGCA